UUCAAUUUAAUCUGAAUUUUAAAAAUUAUUUAAAUAUUAUAAAAAAAGAAUUUUUUUGUUUUAAUAAUUUUAAGAAAAAAUUAUAUUUAUUAUAGUUAAUUAGUACAGUGAUGGAAUUUUUAUUUUAUAUAAAUAUUUAAAAGAAGAGAUUAUUUUUGUACCUUGUGUAUCAGGGUCUAUUAAAUAGAAAAUAGCUAUUUAUUAUUCUCGGUUUUAAAAGAGUUAAAAAUUUAUAAAUUUUAUUGUAGAAUAAAUAUUUAAAAUAAAUUUUUUGUAAUGAAACGUUAUUCGUUUUUAAAUAUAUCUAGUUUUUAAAGAAAAGAAUUUAAUUCUGCUUAUAAAUUUUAUUUUUUUUUAUUGAAAAAUUAAUAUUGUUUGUAAAAAAUAUUUUUAGGGAUGAGCUUAAAAGUAUCUAUUUAUAAUUUAAUAGGAUAUUAAUAAAUUAAUAGAAUUAGAAAUUUUCAUUUGAGUAGUAUGUUAUAAUUAAAUUUUUAUUUAAUAUAAUUUUUAUAUAAUUUAGUUUUUUUAUUUAAAUAGUUUAAUUAAUUUAAAAUUAAAUGAAAUAAUGAUAAAAUUAGUAUAAUAUUAUUUGAUUCUUAUUAUAGAUUAAAGGUUAAAUAAAGGAAUUCGGCAAAAAUAAUUUUCGCCUGUUUAUUAAAAACAUGUCUUUUUGAUUAUAAUUUAAAGUCAAGCCUGCCCACUGAUGGAUUAAAUGGCCGCGGUAUUUUGACCGUGCAAAGGUAGCAUAAUAAUUAGUUUUUUAAUUGAAAGCUGGAAUGAAUGGUUUAACGAGAAAUUUUCUGUCUCUAUUUAAUUUAAUUAGAAUUUUAUCUUUAAGUUAAAAAGCUUAAAUAUUUUUAAAAGACGAGAAGACCCUAUAGAGUUUAAUAUUUUUAUUUAUAAAAAAUAUUUUGAGUUGAAAAAUUUUUAUUAAUAAAAUUAUUUUGUUGGGGUGAUGGAAAAAUUUAAUAAACUUUUUUUGUAUAAAACAUUUAUGUAUGAAUAUUUGAUCCUAUUUUUUAGAUUAAAAGAAAAAAUUACCUUAGGGAUAACAGCGUUAUUUCUUUAAAGAGUUCUAAUCGAAAAAGAAGUUUGCGACCUCGAUGUUGGAUUAAAAUUAAUUAUUGGUGUAGAAGCUAAUAAAUUAGGUCUGUUCGACCUUUAAAAUUUUACAUGAUCUGAGUUUAAACCGGCGUGAGCCAGGUUGGUUUCUAUCUUUAAACAUAUUAAAUAUUUCAGUACGAAAGGACCAUAUAUUUAUAAUAAUUAUUAUUUAGAGAAUUUUAUUAACUAUUACUUUG
rnacentral:rRNA from 1 species